ACUAACGUCUGACAUCUAUCCAACAUCUGCAGACAAUUAGACACCUGAACUGAUCAAUCUCCAACUUUCACUGCAGGUAUACUUUAGCCCUCACCGAUCUUUAUCUCACUGAAUGCAGUUGGCUCCAGCCGCUUCUUUCCCACGGCAUCUACCUCUAUCGGAUCAUGUCGAAGCCUCCAGAAAUGAAGCUAGUCCGAUCCUACCAGCAUCCUCAUUUUAAAAUUCAAAAGCCCCCACCAUAUUUAGCUAACUCUGGAACAAAUAAGACAUGUGUAACCACCUGAUCUUAAAAAUUCUGAUUGAAAAUCCCACCAUAUCGUGACUAAAUCGGCCACGUAACUUGCUCAAAAUGAUUUUCUAACCCUACAAAAGGACCUUCAGAGGAUCCCCAAGGUACGUGCGCAUGAUCUCUUUAGGCACUCCUUCUCAUCUAUUUCUUCUAAUUUCUAACUUGAGCAUCGAAGGAUCUCCGUCGGAGCCAACUGUAGUUAGAGCUUAUCUUGCAAGUUUCUCUUCCAGGAGAAUGUGCCACUACUCCAGCCUUUCCGAUCGAGUCCUAAAUUUUAGUGGUAAUAGGUAUGUAUCAAGAUAGAUCUUUUUUGACCAUUGAGAUCGGGAGUGCUAAUCGACGGACUGGAAGGACUUUACUGGUAGUGGUUCGUGUAUGAGAACCUUGACGAUGUCUGCCUCCGAUGUGGCCACUUCCAUGGUCCGACAGCAUGUUCGACAGGUGGGGAAGAGGGGAGCUCGUUGGUGGGUCUUUGCUUGGAGAAUAUGGUCUGAGCCAAAGGAGUAGAGAUGCUGGGGCCUUGGCUAAUUGCCGUCCGAUAAUGGAUGCCUGGACUAGAGGCAAACGGAGGACAGGAGAAGAAAGGGGCCAAGUCAACUUGGCCCCUCGAGUCGAAAACUCAAUCGGGC
rnacentral:lncRNA from 1 species